UACAGAGGGGGCAAGCGUUAUUCGGAAUUAUUGGGCGUAAAGGGCGCGUAGGCGGCCUGGCAAGUGGAAGGUGAAAUCCCUCGGCUCAACCGGGGAACUGCGUCCGAUACUGGUGGGCUUGAGUGCAGGAGAGGAACGCGGAAUUCCAGGUGUAGCGGUGAAAUGCGUAGAUAUCUGGAGGAACACCGGUGGCGAAGGCGGCGUUCUGGACUGCAACUGACACUGAGGAACGAAAGCCAGGGGAGCAAACGGG
rnacentral:rRNA from 1 species